AAUUUGUUUAAGCACUACAGGAACUUUAUGAGCUCAUAUACCUGGAAAUGUAAAGCCUCACACCUGUUGCUAGCGUGCGACCACCGUCACGAUGUCCUUUCAUGGACCCUUAGAUCAGCCUGGACCGUCUACCCCUGCCAGACUACCCUAUUGGCCCUAAUGCCUAAGGGAUGGUUGCAAAUCAGCUUCUCCACCUCAGGAAGCCUGGGAACAUGGCCAACACGGAUGCAGCGGUGCUCAAGCUGUGUCCUUGGGGUCACCUUGAAGGAUAACUACCUGCAACAAGGAGGAGGAGGAGCUGGAACCCAAGCUGGUGCAUCUGGGAAGCUGGCUCCAGGGCCACCCUGACCUGUUCAUUUCAUCUGUGUAUCGUGCAUCUGGAAAAGUCUUCAUCUGAAGAGUAACAGUCAUGGCUGCAAGAGUUUCGGAAAAGUACCAGGCCAUCUAGCCAUUGUCGAUUCUUCCCCCACUGCAUAGCAAGAGAUGAACCUGACACCAGCCAGCUCGGGCAGUUCCGGAACAUGGACCCUGGAUUUUGUGUGGGGCAGGCAGCUCCCGCUUGUCCGAGGCUUAGGAGGUUCCAGCCAUCUUGGAGGCAUCAUUCUGACCUUCACAGGGACCAGGGUCAAGACAGCUGCAAGAAGGAAAAGGAGUUUCCGAAGCGCAAUGGGAAACCCUGAACAGAUUGUCAGCAGAAGCCCAAGGUCACCUGAGGCAGAACUUUCCGCUCCGCCUGACAGCGCUUUCCAAGCCUGUCCCUUACCCGGCCGCUGCUCCGUCUGUCUCGGCCUUAGCUCCAGUCUUACUGGUCCAGAGGAUGCCAGUUCUACCACGAAAGAUGCCCUCCUCUCGCUCCCAAGUCCCACAGUGUCAUCUCUGCUUCACUGUCUGCCUGACACUCCUCAUUUUGAGGCAGAUCCCCAGAAGGAAACUGGUGGGAAAGUAGGAGGAAAGGCUGAGCAUCCUUGCUUCACCUCAACCUUCCACCGUGAUGCGCCUGCCUUGGAACUGGCCAGCCACAGACUGAAUCCCUUUAAAACUACAGGGCUCUGGAGUCCCCAUGAUGUGCAUGUCCUCACCCACCCCUGGAACCUCUGAGCAUGUGAUUUUAGCUCUUCUCCACCAGGCCCUUUCACCUUGCGAUUUCUCCUUUGGAAUCUCCCCACCAUGGACGGAAACUUCUGAAACUCUGAGUUCAAAUAAACCUGUCCUCCUUUAAGUUGUGGCGUCAAGUGUUGUGCCUCAGCGAUGAGAAAAGUGACGAAGAUGUGCUGAUUGCCAAGCUCUGGGCUUGGCUUUUCCAGGACAGUGGCCACUAGCCAUAUGGCGAUGUGUAAGUGAAAAUAAAUUUUAAUACAUUGCACUUUUUUCAUGGUGGUGAAGUUUUACAUUUAUUAAAGGUAGGAGAAAAAUAGGUUCUGCAGAGUGAGUUUGGGCCAAGUAAAAGUAGGAAAAAGAAGUGCAUCCUACAGCAUCAGGCAGGCAAUUGUGAAGAGACACGAAAGCCUGCAUCAUGAAUUUUGAAUACAUUAAAUAAAACUUUAAGAUGCAUGUCCUCAGUUGCGCUAGCCACAUUUUAACUGCUCAACAGUCCCGCGUGGCUGUGGGCACCUGUCGAGUGGCAUAGACGCAGGUCGCGUUCACUGAGAUGGAAGGUUCUGUUGGACAGGCUCCAUGUUGGGCCAUCCCAGAAACCCAUCCAGCCAGG
rnacentral:lncRNA from 1 species